UGGUGGAGUGAUUUGUCUGGUUAAUUCCGUUAACGAACGAGACCUCAGCCUGCUAAAUAGUCACGCGAUGUCUUUGCCUCGUUGUGAUGGCAUCGUGGCAGUACUUCUUAGAGGGACUAUCGGUGUUUAGCCGAUGGAAGUUUGAGGCAAUAACA
rnacentral:rRNA from 1 species